GACGAACGCUGGCGGCGUGCCUAAUACAUGCAAGUCGAACGCAUUUUCUUUCACCGUAGCUUGCUACACCGAAAGAAAAUGAGUGGCGAACGGGUGAGUAACACGUUGGUAACCUGCCCAUCAGCGGGGGAUAACACUUGGAAACAGGUGCUAAUACCGCAUAAUUCCAUUUACCGCAUGGUAAAUGGAUGAAAGGCGCUUUUGCGUCACUGAUGGAUGGACCCGCGGUGCAUUAGCUAGUUGGUGGGGUAACGGCCUACCAAGGCUGCGAUGCAUAGCCGACCUGAGAGGGUGAUCGGCCACACUGGGACUGAGACACGGCCCAGACUCCUACGGGAGGCAGCAGUAGGGAAUCUUCGGCAAUGGACGCAAGUCUGACCGAGCAACGCCGCGUGAGUGAAGAAGGUUUUCGGAUCGUAAAACUCUGUUGUUAGAGAAGAACAAGGAUGAGAGUGGUAAGUUCAUCCCUUGACGGUAUCUAACCAGAAAGCCACGGCUAACUACGUG
rnacentral:rRNA from 1 species